rnacentral:rRNA from 1 species
CCUACGGGGGGCAGCAGUAGGGAAUUUUGCGCAAUGGGCGAAAGCCUGACGCAGCAACGCCGCGUGAUCGAGACGCCCUUCGGGGUGUAAAGAUCUGUCAGUGGGGACGAAACUUGACGGUACCCACAGAGGAAGCACCGGCUAACUCCGUGUCAGCAGCCGCGGUAAUACGGGGGGUGCAAGCGUUGUCCGGAAUCAUUGGGCGUAAAGAGGUCGUAGGCGGCACGUAAAGUCUGGUGUUAAAGGCAGAAGCUCAACUUCUGUACGGCACUGGAUACUUGCGAGCUAGAGUGCGGUAGAGGUAAAGGGAAUUCCUGGGGUAGCGGUGAAAUGCUUAGAUAUCAGGAGGAACAUCGGUGGCGUAAGCGCUUUACUGGGCCGUAAUUGACGCUGAGGAACGAAAGCCAGGGUAGCAAAUGGGAUUAGAUACCCCAGUAGUC